rnacentral:tRNA from 1 species
GCGGGGAUGGCAGAGCUAGGCCAAAUGCGCAGGACUCAAGAUCCCGUGCCUUAGGGCUACGUGGGUUCAAAUCCCACUCCCCGCA